GUCACUAUUAAUAAAGGGAAUUUCGAAUACAAUUUCAAGCAGUUUAAGAAGUUAUGAUGAACUUCAGUCAUAUCACGCGUUGGAGAAAUUUCCCUCAACUAGUAUCCAUUUGAAACAACAACAAUGCAUCUGCAUUAUUCAAUCAAAAAAUGAGUCGAAGUACUUGUCUUAUUGGAGUGAAAACUUAGCGUUUAAAUCGAGCAUGUAGGCCUAGGUCGCAUGUCGUUUUGAGCUGACCUGUUCUUUUGUGUAGCCAUGGGUCGCGCCUCACAGCCAUGAACUUUAAAGAUUAUCCAGGCUACCAACGCUUCUGUAGUGACCACUUUGUUUGAGGUACCAUGAACGAAAUUGCUUAUAUUCCCUCAACUAAUACAAUAAACAUGCAGAUGCAUUGUUUAGUUGAAAACUAGUCAAAGUAGUGGUCUUGAUGGAGUGAAAACAAAGCAUUUCAAUCGAGUAUAUAGGCCGUGGUUAUAACCGGUAGCUCUAUACCCGGCUUGAGGGGGCUGGGCUUUGUAACGCUGUAGGCCUAUACUGCCCUACAAAGCCAAAAGACCUUAACUCAUCAGACUCAUUACAGGCUUCUGCCUUGGUUUUCCCUUUGCUUUUGGAAGUUACGGUAAAAACGAUGUCUUAUUGUUACCAGAAAAAAACAGAAAUGACUCGAAAUAAUUCAUCACAUGAUACAACUAAUGUCCUCUGUUCCAAAAAUGGCAAUAACUCAUGUUGACCUUAAGUGAUAUUAAGGUUUUUUGGCUUUGUAGGGCAGUAUGGGUCGCAGCCAUUAGAACAUGACUCCAGACAUUGUUAAAACAUUGUUGGUAUUAAAACAGAACUUUCUAUAAAACAAUUGUUUGAACUGUGUGUGUGUGUGUGUGUGUGUGUGUGUGUGUAAGGUUAUUUCAAAUGUAAUGACGUAAAUGUUGUCUUUGUUCCCCCCAUGUUUACCUCAAUGGAACCUGAAGACCACUACCCUGUCAUUCCCUCAAAAGGUACUGCAGACAUUUAUUUCUUUAGGGGAGAGAACAUGGCUUCUUAUUGGUCAAAAAGAAGACGUGUUGUGACAGCUACUGAAAUGUCAGAAAGGCAGAUUCUGUCCGAUUUUGAGUCAGCUCUGGGUAAUCCUGCUGCUCAAGUCUCUCCUUCAAUUGCAUCACCCAGGCCUGCAUCAUCAAUGGGUUUAGAUGAGGAUGGUGGGAAUUCUGUUGAGUUGGGAGGGUGCAGUGAUGCAGAGUCUGACAGCAGUAGCAUGUCUUCAGAGGGUGACAGUGACAGUCAUAUUGAUGGUGACUCUUUUGAAGAGUCAGGGCUUCACCAAAAAUUAAAACACUGGGCUGCAUCAUUCUCUGUGCCUUUGAUUGCCAUUACUGCUCUGUUGACCAUUUUGAGAACAAGCCACCCUGAACUGCCCAAGGAUGCUAGGACCUUAUUGGGCACUAAGCCUGCAGUACCAUUACAGACCAUAGGUAAUGGGGAAUACUUCCAUUUUGGCUUGGUAAAGGGAAUUUUGUCCAAAUUAAGCACCAUCCAUUUACCAGAUGUUAUUCAAACAAUAAGAGUUCAAUUUAACAUCGAUGGUCUCCCUAUUUUCAAAAGCACCAGGCUUCAGUUUUGGCCUAUUUUGGCACUGAUUGAUUGCGAUUACACCAGAACACCGUUUUUAGUUGGCAUCUUUUGUGCCUCUGGAAAACCCUCCAAUGUGUUUGAUUAUCUGACGCAGUUUGUUAAAGACCUCUCUGAUCUGCUUUGCAAUGGGGUAACAUUUGGAGGUAGAAAGCUGAGGGUGGCCAUUUCAUCCUUCAUUUGUGAUGCUCCUGCUCGAGCAUUUGUAAAACAAAUUAAAUGCCAUAAUGGGUACUCCGGAUGCGAUAAAUGCCAUCAGACUGGUAUUUGGCAGAUAAAAAUGACGUAUCCUGAGACUGAUGUUAGGCUAAGGUCAGACGAGGAGUUUGAAAAUAUGGUAGAUGAGGACCACCACAUCAACAGAAGUCCUCUGACGGGUCUGGUGAAAAUGGUGUCUGCCUUCCCAAUAGAUUAUAUGCAUUUAUGUUGCCUUGGCGUUAUGAAAAAGUUGAUACAUUUUUGGAUGAGGGGUAAAAACUCUACAAGGCAGCCUACAAGAGCCAUUAAAGCCAUCUCCGAAAAGUUAAUACAGCUUCGUCCCUAUACUCCAGCUGAAUUUGCACGGAAACCCCGUGAACUCGCUGAAAUUGAUAGGUGGAAAGCGGCAGAGCUGCGCCAAUUUAUGAUUUACAGUGGGCCAUUAGUUCUGAGGGACAUUCUUCCACAAGCUCUCUAUGAAAACUUCAUGUUGUUUUCUGUGGCCAUGUUUUUGCUACUCACACCAAACAUUUCUGAAAGUAUGGUUUGUUUUUCCGAAAAAUUGUUAAUGGCUUUUGUAAAGCAUUUUGGAGAGGUGUAUGGUAAAGACGAGAUUGUGUUUAGCGUACAUCAAACAAUACAUCUGACACAUGAGUACCGCCAGUAUGGUUCCCUAGACAACAUCUCAUCCUUUCCUUAUGAGAAUUAUUUGGGUAAACAAAAAAAAAAUGCUACGCAAGCCAUCUCAACCUUUACAACAGGUUGUCAAACGCCUUUCAGAGGAGCCAGUUUGUUUAUUUCCACCACCACCUACACAACCACAGUUGUUACACCCACACCAGGAGGGCCCAUUACCCCAACACUUAAGUUCUGGCCAGCAAUUUAAAAAAGUGCAUUUCAAUGAUUUCUGUUUUUCUUCAAAGCAGGGCGAUGAUUGCCUAGUGAUUAAAAAUGAAAUCGUAAUGGUGAAAAACAUAAUUAAACAUGGUGACUCUGUCUUUGUGGUUUACAUGAAAUUCAAGAGGAGGGAGUCAUAUUUCCACUAUCCUUGCCCCUCCACAAGCAUUGGCUGCUACAGAGUAUUUGGCAUAGACAGCUGCCUUAACGUUGACCGGCUUGAGGUUGUCCAGGGCAAAUGUGUGUUGUUCCCAGAUGGAGAGACCUUUGUGGCAAUCCCUCUUCGUCACCAUUCGUAAACCUAUAUGGGAAGAAGAAAAAAAACACACACACACACACACAAAGAAACACAUCUUUACUUAUGCAUUAGAAGGAAUCUGGGCAGUUGGAGUACUCCAGCUGGAUGGCAGGCACUAACUAUCCUUUCCAUGGAGUACUUUUUUUAUUUUUUUUAUUAUAGAUGGCACAGAUUUGGAAAGUUGUGGAAUUCCAAGACCGGAGUGCAGCAGUUGUGCCAUCCAGCUGGGUGGUAGAUGUUGACGGAGAAGUGGGAUGCUACUGGCCAACCUUUGGCGGAAACAAAGCUGUGAAGGCCGCCAUGAACUGCACCCCCCCCCCCCCCCCCCCCCCCCGGGAGAAGGAUGGCGAUUCCAUCAAAAAAUAAGGGUGCUGGCAACCUGUGGCACCUUUGCCAAAGCAAGACGUUACCUGACCCGAUCGCUUGAGGAAGGCUGCCUUACAGCAGAUCUGCAAUCGGAUGAUGGUGAGAUGGGGCCAAGGAAAAGACGACCAAACAAAAGGUAUUUGGAGGAGGACAGCGAGGAGGAGGCAGGACCAAGCCGUAGGGGGAGGAGGCCACCAUCUAUUGACGCCACUCA